rnacentral:lncRNA from 1 species
ACUAACCCGGCACCUUGUCUGGCAGAAGCUGAGCUGUAGCAUGCAGGCAGAAGAGGGCACGGACUGGCUGUUGGAGCUGCUGACUGAGCUGCAGCUGCAGCAAUACUUCCUGCGCAUCCGGGACGAACUCAACGUCACCCGCCUGUCCCACUUCGAGUACGUCAAAAAUGAGGAUCUGGAGAAGAUUGGCAUGGGGCGCCCCGCGGCGGCUGUGGGAGGCGGUG